UGCCAUAUUUCUAAUGAUCAUGAGCACACUUGGAAGUUUGUGUUCAGAAUAUAAUGUGGCUAUAAUAAAAGACAGGUUUUGCUUCCAUCACUAAAGUUUUGUUAGUGGUGACAAUGAGACCUGUAACAAUC
rnacentral:snoRNA from 15 species